UUUGAAUCUUCUUCAGUGAGUAGUUUUGAAUUUGCAUUUUAUAGCUUGUUAACAAAUUUAAGAAUACAAAUAGACUAUUUUCAUUGGAUUUGAUAGAAAGGACUCUUUUUGAGUAUGUGCAAAUCCCCAAAAUAUUCUGGCUUUUUAAGGUGGUGAUAAUUUAAAUUGUUUUUUCGACGACUGAUCCUAAAAUAGUGAGAAAAAUUUUGCACAGAUUUUAUUUAAAAACUGAAUAGAAUAAGAAUGUAUAGCUGUGGUUAUGGCUUUAUUUAAUUGAUCUCAAAAUACCCCUACAUGUUCAUCUAUGCCCAAAUGUAAUACUAGGAAUACAAGGGCUAAAAUUAUACUUAAUUUUUGAGCAUCUGUUUUAUAUACUCUCAAGUUUUUUUUAAAGGUAAGCAUUUAACAGCUUGGAAAGAGAAAUUAUUAAUAAAGUAUAACUGUUAUAUUAAAAUAUAAUAAAAUGUAUCUUAAAAAAAUAAUGUGAUCCCAUUUUAGGUCAGUUUGUCCUAGGGGGCAUUAUCAACACUCUAAAAAAAUUCAAACUUGAAAAAAAAUCUUUUUUUUUUCUUUUUUUUUUUAGGACAGCAAGCCAUUAAAUCUCAUGAGUAAUGUUGAAAAAAGCUGGAUUGUGCAUAGAUUGCUCUUUACCCAGGAUGCACUUCUGUCUGCAAGAUUCUGAAUAGAGACACACCUGCUAGCUAGCUGAUAACACUCUGGGGUCAUUUCAUUGAAGAAACUGUCAGCCAGGAGUUACUUAAAAUAAAGCCACAGACAAAAUCAUGACCUGCACUGUUGAGACUAAAAAGGUGUAAAAGCAGAAAGGAAAUGUAGAUAAAUGCACAUUCCUUUGUACCAUAACAAAACUUUUACAUGUAAAUUCAACUGAAUAGGAAAGAAUGGGGAAGAAUGUUUCCCUCUACAGUAGAAACAAAUUAGAUUGUUCAGCUGCACAUUUGGCUCUCAGCCAAAGGAGUCGUGUGCCAUGCUUGUUUGCCUACCAGUGCUGCUUAGAUUGGCAAAUGCCCAUGCAGUUUGAAGAGGGCAGGCGGAUGACUGGAUGCCUGCCAGGAAGUGUGUGGGACUGAUGCCACUGCUGGACUCCAUAGCCUGGUAGGAAUGAGGAGUACAAAGGCAUUCAAUAAUCUGAAUGUCCCUUUGCUUCAAGAGAGUGGUGCCAGGCAGCAUUUAAUGAGAGAUUGCUUUGUUACAAAGUCCUCAACAUCAAGUGGGCUGGUGAGCUCAUUAACCUGACUGCAGCAAAUAAAAAAGGCACACUCAGAAGACUCCCAUGAUAGCCUACUCAAUGGUGUAAGAGCCCUUUUGCUUCCUUUAUGGUGAUCCAUUAGCAAGCAGCAGUGUAAACACCAUAAAGCAAGCCAGGUUUCUGAUUGUUCAACUAAAGUCUGUUUCCCCUUGGGGAUUAUACCACCAGUUGAUAUAGGAUUUUUCCUCUUAAGGUUUCUAUCUACUAUAUAAUGACCGUCUUUGCAACGAAGGAUUUUGGGGGUUGCUCUUAACAGCACUGCUCCGGUUAAGGAAACAUGAACUGUUCAGGUGUCUGAAAGAAGGUAAUGAUGUAGGACACACAGAAACAAACUACGAAGUGGAGUGAUCCCAAGAGGAAAUCUUGCUGCGCACUUCUGAAGCCCAAAAUGGUGAACGCAUUACGCUACUUUUCUGCGUUCCCUUUAUUUUUAGCUUUCAGAGGGCUUUACAUUCAUAUGGGAGGUAGGCCACCCCUGCAGUUAGGAGACAGUUCACUGAGCAUCUCUCUCUGAGUGCUACUUCAGCUCUCUGGGGAUUCAUUUACUCUGCAAAGGCUCUUCAGCAAGGAUUCCUCUCUCCUCCAUUUGGAACAUAUUUGAUGGUUGGUUGUGCAAAAAUCUGACUUACAGUGUCUAAACAGAAAGCUAUAGAAUAAAAAAAUAAAAAUAAAAAAAACUGAAAGAUAAAGGAAGACCAAAAACAAAACAAAACAAAACAAAACAAAACAAAACAAAAAAAACACAAAAGAUCACAACAUUACAUCUUUUGAAAUCCAAAGGCCAUCUGUUGCUUUGCUAUCAAAUGUGAGGAGGUCAUCGUAUGACUUUAGAGAUUGGUUUGAGAAAUGAGAAAGGAAAAGCCCAUAACUUUCAAGUUACCAAUUUAAAUCUAGAAGCAAUUACAGGUGAGUGACAACCAUUGUUUUCUGAUUGACAUUUGGUGGUUAAAAUGAAAAAAGUUAAUUGUCUUGGUCCGACGUUUAGUUAACAUAUGUCUGUAGUAAUCAAAAUUAUUAUGUAUAAUUGAAAAAAUAAUCUGGAUGUAGAAAUCAUUCAUUUUGUUUCCUCCAUAAUCAUUUUGGAGAAAGGAUCAAGUAUAACUUCAAUGAAAUCCUAUAUGAGAGUGUUUU
rnacentral:lncRNA from 1 species